UACAGAGGGGGCAAGCGUUGUUCGGAAUUACUGGGCGUAAAGGGCGCGUAGGCGGCCUUCUAAGUCGAACGUGAAAUCCCCGGGCUCAACCCGGGAACUGCGUCCGAUACUGGAAGGCUUGAAUCCGGGAGAGGGAUGCGGAAUUCCGAGGUGUAGCGGUGAAAUGCGUAGAUAUCUGGAGGAACACCGGUGGCGAAGGCGGCAUCCU
rnacentral:rRNA from 1 species